rnacentral:lncRNA from 1 species
UUUAGAUUGUAAUAUGCAUUUAGGUUACACCAUGGGUAUGCUGAGCUAUAGUCUACACCAUUUUAGAUAUUUCUCGGGAAAUACUGAUGACCAUUUUUUUUUUUUUGUUGUACCUUGUACUAAUUUGUAUACUUAUGUUUGUAUGGUGCAUCAGUAUCGAAGAUGGUGUAUAUAUUUAUACGCGGGGUACCCUUGUGGUAUAGAACUUAAUAGGACAUCUGUCGGCUUAUGGUAAGCCGGGUGUUUAAAAGAAGUUGACCUUCAUGAUUUUUUAUAAUUCCAGUGUCUGAUAGAAUGGAGAAUCUUGGAUUGAAUUUUAAAUGAAGUAUAUUA